AUAGGAUAGAGGGGAUAGAGGGAAUAUAGGGAUAUAUGGGGUAUGUGGGGUAUGGGGUAUAGGAUAUGGGGUAUGGGGGUAUGGGGUAUGGGAUAUGGUGUAUGGGGUAUGGGAUAUGGGAUAUGGGGUAUAUGGGAUAUGGGGUAUAUGGGAUAUGAUAAAGGGGUAUGGGGUAUGGAGUGCAUUGUGUCCCCAUGUGUCCCAUGUAUCCCAUGUGUCCCAUGUGUCCCUAUGUGUCCCUAUGUAUCUCUAUGUGUCCCUAUGUGUCCCUAUGUAUCUCUAUGUGUCCCUAUGUGUCCCAUGUAUCCCAUAUGUCCCUAUGUUGCCACAGGUGCUGCUCCGGGAGCACAAGCUCCGCUCAUACACCCUCAAUGCCGUCAGCUUCCACUUCCUGCAGGAGCAGAAGGAGGAUGUUCCACAUGGGAUCAUCACUGACCUGCAGGUGGGGACACAGCUCAUGGACCCCAUACAGCACAUACAUCAUAUACAUCAUAUACAGCACAUGGACCCCAUACAGCACAUACAUCAUAUACAUCAUAUACAGCACAUAGAGCUCAUAUAUCAACUAGAGCCCAUAUAUCCUCUAUAUCCCAUAUAUCCCAUACAUCCCCUAGAGCCCAUAUAUCCCAUAUAUCCCCUAGAGCCCACACAUCCCAUAUAUCCCAUACAUCCCCUAGAGCCCAUAUAUCCCAUAUAUCCCAUAUAUCCCCUAGAGCCCACACAUCCCAUAUAUCCCAUGUAUCCCAUACAUCACAUACAUCCCAUACAGCCCCUACAUCCCCUAGAGCCCAUGUAUCCCAUAUAUCCCAUACAUCCCAUAGAGCCCAUAUAUCCCAUGUAUCCCAUACAUCACAUACAUCCCAUACAUCCCGUGGAGCCCAUAUAUCUCUACAUCACAUAUACUUCAUGUGUCUUCUAUAGUCCAUAUAUCUUCUAUAUUCUGCUUAUUCCUACAUUGCAAUACUUCAUAUAUCACAAUAUCCCAUAUUUCAAAUAUAUCCUAUAUAUGCCAUAUACCCUAUAUACCAUAUACAUAUAUAUGUAUGCAUAUAUGUAUAUAUCCUACAUAUCCUGUAUAUGCCAUAUACAUCAUAUAUCUCAUUUGAUCCCAUGUGUCUUAUAUAUCCCAUAUAUUUCUCUUCCCCAUAUAUUCUAUAUUCUCUAUACUCCUAUAUCUCCAAUAUCCCCUAUACCCCCUAUAUCCCCUAUCCCCCCUAUACCCCUAUAUCCCCUACAUCCCCCAUACCCCAUACCCCCAUAUCCCCGUCCCCCAUCCCCCAUACCCCCAUACCCCACUAUCCCCACACCCCAUAUACUCCCAUACCCCAUACCC
rnacentral:lncRNA from 14 species